GUCCCUGGGAGGGUUCCCAAGCAGGAAGAUGAACAAUGAUAUUACUUCCGUUGCGAACAACGGUGGAAGAGUGCAAUGCAUUCAGGUAAGAGAAGAUAUUUAUGUGAUAGGAAAAUGUGAAGAUUUGGAAGUUGGUUGGUUAGUUAGUUUGUUAACUGAAUUAUGAUGGAAAUGAAAUGAGUAGGUGUGGCCAACAGUUGGGAAGAAGAAGUUCGAGACUCUUUCGUACCUGCCACCCCUGACAAAAGAACAAUUGGCAAAGGAAGUAGACUACCUUCUUCGGAAAGGAUGGGUUCCGUGCUUGGAAUUCGAAUUGGAGGUGAAUUUGUUGAAUUGAAUUGAAAGGGUUAUUAUGGUUAAUUUAUGAAUGAAUGAAUGAAUGAAUGAAUGAUGUUGAUGUUUGUGUUUGAUGUUGAUGUGUGUUGAUAGCAUGGUUUCGUGUACCGUGAACACAACAAGUCACCUGGAUACUAUGAUGGAAGGUACUGGACGAUGUGGAAGCUGCCUAUGUUUGGGUGCACUGAUUCUUCUCAGGUGUUGAAGGAGCUUUACGAGGCUCAGACUGCUCAUCCCGAUGGUUUCAUCCGUAUCAUUGGAUUUGACAACGUUCGUCAAGUGCAGUGCAUCAGUUUCAUUGCCUACAAGCCACCAGGCUACUAAGUCUCCAAAAUUUCCAAAACAGUUCUAGCCACCCCACUUUGCUUGUUUGUACUUAAACUAAACUUUCAUUUCGUUUUUUCCAAUUUUGGUUUCUGUUUUCGGACUUCAUUGGAAAUGAAUGGAUGAGAACUAAUGAAUAAGCUGUUGUGUUGUGUUGUGUCAUUUUGUUCUAAAAUAACUUCAAGAACUCAAUUCUCCUUGCAUCCCCCUCUUGUGGGUUGAAAUUUACUUUCUAAUAAUUUAAUGUUUUUUCUUAAUGAUGUUUAACAGCAUAGUUGAGCUUGGCCUAACUUUGUCACACAUCUGAAUGUUCUACUUUAUACUUUAGUUCUCCAAGAAAUGAAGUUCAUUACUUAAAUUUAAGAACAUGUUGCUAGGAAGCUACUGAACUAAAUGAAUCCCAUAAUUCUUGGAAGCACAGAUAUUUUGUAUAGUAUAUAGCAACAAACAACUACCAAACCGUUUUGUUAAUUAUGUGAAAAGAAAGAGAUAUCAGAUUCAAUUUUUUGUUGGUUUCAGAAACUAUUCUUUCCAAGAAAUAGCCAGUAAACCAUUUUGAUUUUGCCAUUUCUAAUUCUCCUGACUGCAAUUUUCAAAUUAUGAUUUGGAAAACGCACAGAUAAACACAAUCAGAUUUGGUCAUGCUCUGGUAACAGUACAAUUUUUCUGGAAUUGUGAGAAUCUGAUACAUAGCUCGCGAUUAAUCUCAACAUGUUUGUAACAAGUUGGUAUGAAGUUUAGCGACUUGUGAGUAGUAACAGGUAACUUAUCUCAACACCUUUUAGGUUGCAUUGAUAAUGCUUGGACCCUUUUGAUAGUUACAUUUGUGAACAAGGAUACUAGAGAAGAAGAUAAGUUUCACCUCCUUUACUCUCGUGACCACAUCACACAUAUUCAAAGUCAAUAGAGAAUAUACAAAUCUAUGAGAUUUUAUUCAAAAUUUGUUUGUGAUGUGAAUACUUACCCUAGAAGCAAGUUUUGUCAAAUUUACUGUUUCAUAAUUUUUUUUUUUUAAUAUUAAUUCUUCAUCAAUCCAAUUCUUAAAUUGAAAAUUAAGUAGAUUAAAUAGGGGAACUUCAAUUAACAUUAUGUUAUCCCCAAUGGAAUUGAAUAUAGAUAAUUAUAAACUUAAUAUCUUAUAUUAUGCUGAAUUUGAAUAAUAUAGAUGCUGGCUUUGUAAAUGAUUCUGAACUCAAAUUCUAAUAAAAAUUCAGUUUGAUCCAUUUGAGUUGACAGUGAAUCUUUGUGUUUUUUUUAUUUGUUUUCAAAACAAAAUAUAUUUUACUAAAAUGGAAGUAAAAGAGAUUUUAACACAACGAAAAAAUUUAUCAAUCUAAUAUUUUUUAUUACAAAAAUAUUUAUAGUAUUUCACUGUGACUGUUUUUAUUGUCUGAAGAUCAUCACUCCACCAUAGUCAAUUAUUGUUAUUAGAGUAAUUAUUGUUGUUAUUAUAGUUACUAUUAUUUUAACAUAUCAUUAAAUUCCUUGAAGACCAUCAAAUCAGGGACCUUAGAGAUAGGAUUAUUAGAAUGGUGAUAUGUUCUCCAAUGCUAGGUGGGGUGAUUCUACAUGCGAGUCAAUUUUGGUAAGUCAAUUUUAAUAGAAAUGAUUUAAAUAGGAUGAAGUUUGAAUAUUUUAUUAGUUAUGUUUAAAAAUUUAUAAAUAUUUUUUUUAACUAUUUAAACUUAAUUUUAUAAAUAUUUAUAAAACAUAUUUUUAUGUCUGUCUUACUCAUGUUAGUAAAGAGGAGAACACAACUAACGGAUUAUAUUUGUGUUUAGAGUAAGUUUCUUACGUAUUUCUAUUUUUCUUGGGUUGGUUGCAUGUUUGGUAGUUUGUAUGUGUAGUUUUAUGGGAAAAUAUAAACUUUUGUUAGUCUAGAAUUUUUUGUUGACAUGAUUGAACUUCUGGUGUUAAAACAUGUUAGAGUUUUGUUCAGAAUAACUAGAAUUUUAGGUAAGGAAAACCAAUUAAAAUUAUCAGGUGAAAGAUUUGGACUGUGUUGAUGUGACUUGGUCACAAUGGACUUUGUCCAUGGAUAGUAUAUUGGUGAUGUGAAUUUAUUGAAUUGUUUUAUUUUGAUAGGUAAAAAUAAAUCAUAGUGAGAAUUAUGAGAUUAUGAUAGUGAUUUGUAACUAUGAUAAUUGUUUUGAUAACUUGUAUGUGUUAUCCCAUAAAAGUUCAUGUGGUGGAUCAAAGUAUAUACUUGAAAACUUGCUUAUGUUUAGUUGAAAUGGUUAUUAGUUUUAUAAUUGAAAUUAAAACCCAAAAAUGAAAAACCUAUUAUGAUUUUGAGAUGUUUGGAUUUAAUAAGCUUGUUGCAUGGGGAUAACUUCAACCAAUUUGAUGUUGAGUAGGAAAACUUUUAUACUUUACUUAUUUAUGAAGGUUAGAACAUGUUAGUUCUAGUUUGAUAAUUUGGCACAAUUCUUACGCAAGUUUGCAAGUCUUUCGUCGCUUAACAAAAAUUUUGCCAUGAGGAGGGUUCAAUUUAGGAUGAUUUCUACUCAAAUAAAAUCUCCUAAUAAAAAGAGUUCAAUACAAAUCAAUUUUCACGUGAACAAGGUUUCUAUUGCAUAAGUAAUGAAAAUUUCUGCUUAAGCUAAAAAGCUUAAAAAAUAAAAACAAAUAAAAAUUUUAAGGCUUUAAAAGGGUGUUUCUUUGAUUAAAAAAUAUAAUAUUGUAUUUAUAUAUUUUUAUAGGAAAUAUUAAAGUAUAUAAUUAUUUUAUUUGUUUUAUUUUAUUAGAUUAAGUAUGUUGUAUAUAAAUUGUAACAAUGAGUGAUCAGUUCCCAAGUGUAAAUUGAUGCGAUUUGAGGUUCAGGAUGUAAAUGUGAACAAGGUGUUUACCAAAGAGGUAACAUUAUGUGUUGUACAAUGAUUAAUGCACUCUUGAAUAUGACGGUGUUUUUAAAGGGAUCACUACUAUAAAAAGGUGUUUAGACUAUGAUUUUAAAGUCGUUAGGUGACGGUUUUAAAAUCGUAGUCUAUGAAGAUGUCGUCUAUAAUUAUUUAAUAUAGACAACGACUUUAGUCAUCAUCUAUAUUUUUUUUAUAUAUGUGACGAUUGUUGUCUGAAUCGUCGCCUAUUUUUAUCUUAUAGGCAACCAUUACUUGAUCAAUCGUCGCCCAACCUAUGACAUAUAAACAAUUUAGAGAGGGAAGCAUAGGUGAUGAUUGUUGUAUGCAUCGUCAUCUAUGUUGUUGUUGUGUAUGAAAAAAGACGUAUAUAGGCGACAAUUAUAGUUAACAUCAUUGCCUAUUAUGCCUUAUAGACUACAGUUUUGAAAAAAAUCGUCACCUAUGAUUGUUUAUUUAUUAAAAUACAGUUUGUUUAUUACGCUUCCUCCUCUUAUUUAACCUGUAUUGUUUAAAAUCCCAACCAGAUUCAAUAAUAAUGCAAAAAAACAUAUAAAUACACUAAUUCAUAUAAACCAAAACUAAAACUAAAUCAUAUAAACUAAAACUAAAACUAAACAUCAUUUAUCCUAGUGUUUUAAAAUCUAAUGAAGUAUGUGGCCCAAGCGUUCCUCACAUUGUCCAUUGAUUCUAAAUCCAAUGGUUGAGCAUCCAUAAAAUACUGCAUCACAUAAUAAGUUCAAAUUAGUCCAUAAACUACACACAUAGUUUUAUAUAAAAAAAAAUUGUUAAACAUGAGACCUAAUACCAAUCUUUGUCAAUUUCGGCCUUACCAUGACUGUCAUCCAUUGCAUUUAAUAGUCACAUUCAUACCCUCCCUUUUGUUUAUUGCACUACAAUCCAAUAUUAAAUAAAACUUAAUAAUGAUAUUUAUUUCACUUAGGAAAUUAAUAAUGAAAAUUAGAAAACCUUUAGGUGCAAUCAUGUAAGCUUCUAGAACUUUGCACUUGGUUGACCUCUCAAUAUUUUAUAUCCACUAUAUGAGCUACAUAAUAAAAAAACACAAGUUAGGAAACAUUUCAGUAAUAAAAUGACAUAAGUUAAUAAUUUAAUUACCAAUUGACUAUUUGCUUCAGAUACGCAGGUGGCUUCUUGUUUAAUUAGCAAAACCAUGCAACAAUGUGAUCAUUUAGAGAUAUCAUAUGUAAUUGCCAGUGAUGUUUGUAUUGAAAAACCCAUUAGUAUAACUACAACUGAUGAAAUACUAAUAAUUGACAACUUAAAAUUUGUACUUACUCAUUAAUAUAAGGGGUAAAAUAUGUAUGUUUCCCCUUGUGACCAGAUAGUUCGUAAUGUAUGAAUGGGUUUCAACUAUCCUAUUUCUCAUAAAAUUAAUUAAUCGGGGAUCCAUGAAUCCAUAGAUAUCAUGUUUCCUGUCAUUAACACAUACUCCAAACAAAUACCUACAAGAAUAAUUAGUUAAAACAUAAUAAAUGAUUUAAAUUAUACAAACUAAAAUUAAAUAAUGUUUAAGAGACUUGCAUCAUCCAAAACUGAAUUAUAGAUAUAUUCAACUCCUAGUUGCCAAAUGCAACCUCUAAAAUAUCAGACAUGUGUAUAUAUAAAAGGGAGUCAGUGUUUCUUCCCAAAACAGUACCAUCCCAUGGAAUAUGCGCUGGGUUUGUACCUAUAGCCACAACAACCUCUAAUAAUGAGGCUAUAAGAUUGUCGAUAGAAAUAGUUUUCUUCUUUAUCUGCGAACUUGGUUUUCGACGGGGUUGCUACAAAAUAAACAACAUUUUCAUUAAAUUAAAUAUACAAAUGUAUUCAUACAUAAAUAAAAAUUAAUAAUUACAGUUUAUUAUCUUACUAAGGGUUCAAGAAUACACCAAACAAGGUGUCUGGCCCAAGCCAUGAAUGUCUAAAAUGUUUGUGGCAUAGUAGUUACCUCAUUUGUUGGCAUAGAAACUAGAGCAUCAACAAGAACUUGUACUAUCUCCAUCGUGACCUUCACCUUAUCAGGGGGAUCAACAUUAUGUAAAGUAGUGUCCCCUUCAAAUACUUUCUCUUGGACCAACAACCAAGGAGUGAAAUUGUCCACAGAUAGCUCAAAUUGGCUUAUCUUGCCAAUGUCAUCCCUUGAUGGUGCAUCAGCUACACAAUUCCCCAUGUGCUCAAUCUAAUAGUGGGAGCAACAAAGGUCUGGUGGACAGGAACUGUCUAUUGUGAUAUACUUGAGGUUUGUAGCUUCUCAUGAAACUCUUGCCUCAACUGUUGAGUAACCUAUUGAGUAACCUUCUCAAUAACCUGAUUUGUCACUUGUUUAGUGAUCUCCUGCCUUAAUUGAAUAAUCGCUUCUUAGUUGGUUGCCUCAGAGGAGGAAUUUCGUGGUGUAGCUCCGAAGAACUCAAGAAUGCCAAGCCCUAAUCUUGUAAUUGGACUAUCUGUAAUUGUUCAAAACUAUAUGCACCCGAUAUUUUCAUAUGGGUUUGCUUAUAUUUUUUGUGGUAGGUAGGUGGUGAUGGGGGUUGAUUGACCCCUGUAUCAUCCUCAUAAGUAACAAUAGGUCGUGCUUUAUUCCCUUUCCCUUACAACAACUUCUUCAAGCUUAUGAUAACCCCCAUGUGAAAAUAAGUGUGGGUCACAAUAUGGGUUGCUAUUAUGAUGGAAUCUAUUAUUGCUUGUGUUUGGAAUAUGAUUGAAGAAAACGAAAGAUAUGAUGAAGAGAAACACCAAAUUUGAAAUGGAAUAGGUGAUUAAAGGUGUGUUGUUUAGUGUAAGGUUAAAGGGAGAGGUUUUUCCAACUUCCUUGAAGUUUCACUAGGCUUUGAGAGCAUCUAGCUAAGAAAGAUUGGGAGAUAAUUGUGUUGAAAAUUCAUAAACACAAAUCAUAUAUCAUCCAAAUCUGAAUUUACAAUGCACGGGCCACUUAUUUAUAGGCUCUCAAGGAGUAGUAGGGGUGUCCCAUAAGCUACCUCAACCUUAGUUAAGCUAACUUAACUAUGAUGAAGCUUAGGAGUUUUAAGGUGACCAUUCCUGCUCAAGAAGGAGCUUUUAUAAACCUUUGCUUGAGUCAAGUUAAGGUUUCUAGAGUGUCUUUGAUUUAUUUUUAUCUUAUUGGUUGUGUGUGAUGGCUUGGGAGGUAAGGAUGGUCCUCCAUCAGCCCCCGCCCCCCCCCCCCCUCAAAAGCAUUUGUCCUCAAAUCUAGUUCAGGGUGCCACCUUAUUGUUGUGCUUUGUGAUUAUCCUUCUCCAUGAUAAAAAAAAAACUAACCUAUAGAAAACAAUGAAAUAGUAGAAGACAUGAUAUUUGUUCAGAAAAUUUAAAAAUAAGAAUACAAGAAAGGACGUUCCUUUUAAGGACUAUGUACUCCUUACCUGUCACGUAGACAAAAUUGACCCAAGGAGUACUGUGGGUUUUGGUUGAUUGCAUUGCUAAAAAGGUCAUAAUAUUUGCUCCUGAUUCUAAUGAGUUUCUCAGAGUUUCAAAGUGUGUUUCAGCAAAGGACAUGUGGGACACUCUUGAAAGCACUCAUGAAGGAUCAAGUGGAACUGUUUGGAAUGAUAAUGACAUAUCUUCUUCUGGUUGUAGGUUUACCCUUUUGAACAAUCAGUUGAAAAAUAAAAACAACUGGUUGGAAAAUAUAGUCAAAAUCUUGGAAGAAGAAUUAAACAAAUAAAAAACUGAUUUUGAAAACUUGGAAAUGAUUUAUCAAAAUUCUUCUCGCAAGUGUGAUUCUACUUCUUGUGAAAACUGUGAAUCUCUUCAAAAUAAAGUUUUGUAUCAUAUGAAAACUGUAGAUAAACUUUCUAAAGAAAAAUCCAACUUUGAGAAUGUACUUUCAUCUCAAAACUGUGUUUUUGGAAAAUCUGGACUUGUUUUUAAUCCACAGAGAAAAAACAGUGGCUUUUUCAAAACCUUUUCAACCAUUGUAGAAAAACAACCGAUUGAAAAGUCGAAACAACCGGUUGUUUCUUGCUUCUUCUGUAUGAGAAAGGGUCACUCAGUCACGUUUUGUAAAAUUUGAAAAAAAUUUGUUCCCAGGGGUAUUUUGAAAUGGGUUCCUAAGAAUCCUAAGGUUCCUAAUAACCAAGUUAACCUCUAUUGACCCAAAUUUGUUAGGGGACCAAACCUUGCCACCUGAUUUUGUCUUUUGCAGGAUUCCUUGAUGAAAAGCAAGCAUAUGUGGUACCUGGACAAUGGCUAUUCCAAACACAUGACAAGAGAUAUAUCCAAGUUUGUCAACAUCAUCCUCAAGCAAGAAGGUCAUGUUACCUAUGGGAUAACAACAAAAGGAAGAUUCUUGGGAAAGGCAUUAUAGGAAAUGAAAACAACUUCUUGAUUCAUGAUGUUCUACACGUGGAAGGACUCAAGCAUAAUCUUCUCAGCAUAAGCCAAUUGUGUGAUAGAGGGUAUCAAGUGACCUUCAAACCUAACAAUUGUGAGAUUCCUCUAUCCAAUUCACAGGAAGUGCUACUGGUUGGUAAAAGAGGUAAUAAUGUUUACCUUCUUGACAUAUCAAAUCCCACAUCUCUUGACUGUCUUUUAACCAAGCAUGAGGAAUCAUGGCUUUGGCAUAGAAGAAUUUCUCAUAUUCAUAUGCAUCACUUGAACAAACUGAUAGCUAAUGAUCUUGUUGUAGGGCUACCUAAGCUUAAGUUUAAAAAAGAUCAUGUAUGUGAAGCUUGCCAAAAAGGGAAACAAACUAAACAUUCCUCUAAACUGAAAAAUAUGGUAUCCACUUCAAAACCCCUUGAGCUUCUUCACAUGGAUCUGUUUGGUCCCUCAAGGACAAUGAGUCUUGGUGGGAAUUAUUAUGCUCUUGUUGUGGUUGAUGAUUUUUCCAGGUUCACAUGGACAAUGUUUCUGGAGUCAAAAAGCAAUGCCUUCUCUGCAUUCAAGAACUAGCUAAGAGGUUGUAGAAUACAUGUUGCAACAACAUAUGUGUUAUCCGUAGUGAUAAUGGAGGAGAAUUUCAUAAUGAAAAUUUCAGCUCCUUUUGUGAAAAGCUUUGUAUCUUCCACAAUUUCUCUGCUCCAAGAACACCUCAGUAGAAUGGUGUGGUGGAAAGAAAGAACAGAUCGCUUGAAGAACUGGCCAGGAAAAUAUUGAGUGAAUCAUCCUUGCCAAAAUACUUUUGGGCAGAUGUUAUAAGUACUGAAUGCUAUGUGAUGAAUUGGGUUCUCAUCAUGCCUAUCUUAAAGAAGACUCCAUAUGAACUGCUUAAUGGAAGGAAACCCAAUAUAGGUCAUCUAAAGGUAUUUUGGAUGUAAGUGUUAUAUUCUGAAUAAUGGUAAAGAAAAUCUUGUAAAAUUUGAUGAGAAAGCAGACAAUGGUAUUUGUCUUGGUUACUCUUUAUCUAGUCAUGCUUAUAGGGUUUAUAAUAAAAAACUCAUGACUGUAAAGGAAUCUAUACAUGUUGUAUUUGAUGAAACUAACCCUGCAAAACAAAGUUCCUUGAGGAAUUGUGCAGAAGAAGAUGAGCAAAACAUCUUUCUAAAGAAUUUGGAAACCUGUCCAGAAAAACAAUCAAUUGAUUAUGCGAAUCAACCGAUUGAUAUUCUUCAACUAGAGGAGCUACCCAAGGAAUGGAGGAUUCCAAGAGACGUCUCUGUGGAAAACAUAAUCGGAGAUAUUAAUAAAGGAGUUUCUACACGAAGAACCAUAGCAAACUACUGCAGACACAUGGCCUUAAUCUCUCAAGUUGAACCCAAAUCAGUUGAUGAAGCUCUCAAGGAUGUGAUUUGGACUGUUGUUAUGCAUGAGGAGCUAAAUCAAUUCAUCAGUAAUGAUGUGUCACUCCUGGUCCCAAAAUAGAUCAUAUGAACAUCAUUGGGACGAAAUGGGUGUUCAGAAACAAGGUUGAUGAAUCAGGGGUGAUAACAAGGAACAAAGCAAAACUUGUUGCACUAGUGGCCAGAUUGGAAGUUGUAAGGUUGUUGCUAGCCUUUUCUUCCAUGAGCGGGUUAAAAUUGUUCCAAAUGGAUGUGAAGAGUGCCUUCCUUAACAUAGUUAUCAAUGAAGAGGUCUUUGUCUCACAACCACCCGGGUUUGUAGAUCAUCAACAUCCCAAGCAUGUAUAGAAGCUGAAAAAGGCCUUGUAUGGUCUUAAGCAAGCUCCAAGGCAGUGGAAUGAGAGGUUAAGUAACUUCCUCUUGUCUCAUGACUAUGAAAGAAGGAAGGUUGGCAAAACUCUCUUUAUCAAAAAAUCAAAUUCUGCCAUUAUUUUAGUCCAAAUAUAUGUUGAUGACAUUAUUUUUGGUGCUACUAAUGAUAGCUUGUGUAAAGAAUUUGUGGUAGCUAUGCAAGGAGAAUUUGAAAUGUCGAUGAUGGGAGAGUUCUCCUUCUUCUUGGGACUAAGGUCCAACAAUCAAAGGAUGGCAUCUUCUAAGUCAAUCCAAGUAUUGUAAGGAAAUUCUCAAAAGUUUUGAAAUGGUGCAGUGUAAAGAAGCAACUACACCUAUGUCCACAAGUUUUAUCAUGGUUUAAAUUCUGCUGCUUCCAUGCUCUUGUUCACCAUAGUUCUGCUGCAGACAAGUCUAAUUUUGGCACUGGUUUUUAUGGUUAUUUGUCUGGUUUUUCUGCUUAAAGGCUUAUGCAGAAAACUGGUUUUGUGUGCCUUGGUAUCCUGCUGGUAUACUUGCUUUGUAUAUGCACAAAUUCUGUUUUGCAGGACUUUUCAAGUUCAAAAACAACAACACAAACAAACCAGGGAUUUGUCUUCAUCAAAUAGGGGGGAGAUUGUUGACCAAGAUGCUUUGAUGUCUCCAAAUCCAAGAGGAAAGCUUGAAGACCUUGUUGUUGGGUGUGUGUGUGUGUUGUCUAGUUGUUUGAAACUUGUUAAUUCACUCCUUAAGCUGAUCCAAGUUCAUUUGAAUCUUUAACCUUUUGAAAAGAUGGGUUUUAUAAAAAGCUGUUGAAAUUUCAACAGGUUGUUUUUCGAAACAACAGGUUGUUUUACCUUAGUAGUUUUUGAAAAGGUUUUGAAAAGCUUGACUUUGCUGUCAAAGUCAAUUCAACCGAUUGUUUCGACAAAACAAUCGAUUGUUUUUCUGAUAAACUUAACAGAAUUCUGUUAAGUGGUUUUAAUAUGUUUUAAAUGAUCCUAACUACCUUGAUUCCUUUAUUAAAUGCUUUUGACCACUUGGUUGGUCCAUAUAAAUGUGGUUUUACACUCCUAAUCUUAGAGUAAGAAAAAGAGUGUAUCAAAAAUAGUUUUUCCAAGAUUUGAAAGAGCUUUGGAUCAUUCUUAAGUGUGUGGAAUAGGAUUGGGUUGUAUUCUGAACUUUAAGCUUUGUAAUACCCAGGUGUAUUCUAUUCCCUUAUUCCUUGAUUACUGUAUUUUUGUAUUUAUGUUGCCAAGGAGUGUUUGUGUGUUCUUGAGGUGUUCAAGAUCAACACUCUUGGGGUGGUUUGCCAAAGGUAAUGUGUUUCUUGAGGGGUUCAAGGUCACUACUUUGGUGUCUGGUGUUUGUAAUAUGGUUUUGAUUGCAUGGUGGAUUACCCAGUGGUUUCUGGGGUCUGGAUGUAGCUCUUGGUGUAAGAGUGAACCAGUAUAAAUCUGUUUGUGUGAUUUUAUCUUUCCCUAAUCUUAGAGAUAUCUAUUUUAAGUUGUUUUUAUUAACUGCUGAUAAAAACAACCGGUUCAAUCGCAAAAACAAUCGGUUGAUUUUCUGGAAAUCAACUAAAACAGCUUUGUGCUUUGCUGUCCUUAGUUUCUUUCUCUGUGAUUCUUCAUUGACCUUCAUUAUACCUUCAAAGUUUGCGAAAAUCUUUCAUAAACAAUUCACCCCCCUCUUAUUUAAGGCCAUAUAUUCUAACACUAGAUUCCAGUCCAAUCCGAAAGAAUCACACAUUAAAGCUGCCAAAAGAAUUCUGAAGUAUCUAAAAGGCACAUCCAUUGUUGGGUUAUGGUAUCCUUAUCAUUGUCCUAUACAUUUAGUUGGAUACUCUUAUUCAGAUUUUGAAGGAUGCAAACUGGACAGGAAAAGCACAAGUGUUACUUGUCAUCUACUUGGCUCCAGCCUUAUCUCUUGGCAUAGCAAGAAGCAAGCCUGCGUAGCACUCUCCAUUACUGAAGCAUAAUACAUUGUUGCAGAAAGCUGUUGUGCUUAGAUUUUGUGGAUUAAACAAUAGCUUCAAGACUUUGGAUUAAAAGUCAGCAAAGUACCCCUACUGUGUGACUACACAUGUGCCAUCAAUCUCACAAAAAAUCAAGUUCAGCACUCUAGGACAAAACAUAUUGAGAUCCGACACCAUUUCAUAAGAGAUCAUGUGAGUAAUGGAGACUGUGAGGUGAAGUUCAUUGCAACCGAAAGGCAAUUGGCAGAUUUUUUCACUAAAUCUUUGCCAAAGGACAGGUUCUUCUUUCUCAGAAAUGAGUUAGGAAUUCUUGACUCACAAACUCUCUUUUAAAUGUUGUUUUUUUUAUCUCUCCUUUGAUUCUAUUUGUGAAGAAAAUAGGGGGAGAAGUUUCUGUGGUUUGUAUGUUUGUAUUGUGUGCUUAAAUUAUGUUUUAACUUGGUUUAUAUGCUGCUUACUUUGAUUAAAAUUGUUGCAUAAACCUCUGCUGGAUAAAAUUCUUAUUCGCACCUCUCUUUAACCAUCUUUUCACGCUGAUUUUGCUGACUUUCCUUAUGGAAAUCACUAAGUGAAAAAUGGUUCCUUGGUGCUGAUGAAAUCUGGAAAGGGUUACCUCUUGUAUUUGCAAAUUUUGUGUUUUGCAGGUAUUGACAAAUUCAAACAAAACAUCCCAAGCAAACCAAAGAUUUGUCUUCAUCAAAUAGGGGGAGAUUGUUGAACUUGAAGCUUUGGUGUCUCCAAAUCUAUGAAGUUUACUUGAAGACUACGUUGUUGCUUGAAGGCAUGGGUUCUGGGUAGAUUAGAAUUUGUCAAUCCACUCUUAGCUUGAUCCAAAACUAAAUCAAUCAUGUUCUUUAAAAGAAAAAAAAAAUUCAAAAUAAGUGAAAAACAACUUGUUGAUUUGUCGUUUCAAUCGGUUGUUUUACACUUGGUAGUUUUGGAAAGGAUUUGAAAAAGCUGAAAUUGGUUGACCUCAAUUCGCACUUUCAAUCGAUUGUUUUUUUGAAAACAUAACAGAAUUGGUUUAAUCCAUUAAAACUAUAUUUGCUUAUUUCAAAUCUGUUUUAGCCCCUGAUUGAUAGUCUGAAAUGGCUAUUUUUAAGGCUAUAUAACUGGUUUUUGAAUCUCUAAUUGAGAGAGAGAUCAAAUUACAAAAGAUCAAAGAGAUUUUCUAAAGAUUGCAAGAUUGCUAAAAGUUUUGCAUUAGUUAAGAGUGGAGUAGGUUUUGUUGUAUUCAUAUUUUGUAUCAGGUGUGAUCCUUCUUAUUCUUUGUUGUUCUUUAAUUCAUUUUGUAUAAGUGUGAGAAACUGGUGUUACAUCUAGGGGUUUCUGGGGACUAGAUGUAGCUCAUAUUAAGAGUGAACCAGUAUAAUCCUUGUGUGUUCAAUCUCUCUAUCUCUCACUGCUUAUAAAACUGUUUGAUCUGUGAUUUGUCAAUCGAUUGAUUUGUAUAAACAAUCAAUUGAUUUUCUGGAAUCAAAUUAAAACAGUUUUGUUGAUUGGCUUAUCUGAUUGCUUUUUCUGGGUUUCUGCAUUAAUAUUCAUUCUUGUUCAGAAUUUGCGAAAAUCUUUCAUUAAGCAAUUCACCCCCUCUUGUUUAAACGCCUAUAAAUCCAACAUUAAUCUCCAUCAUGAAAAUAAUGUUGCUUAAGCUUGCUUGGAAUUUUGCUUAUAGUAACAAGCCUUGGUCUUCUCCCCUGAAAGCCAAAGUUCUUAAAUAAAAGUACAAACUUCAAAUGGUUUAUCGAUCCCCGUCUCUUUAGUCUGCAAUUAAACAGUUUUAUGCUACUAUACUUGACAAUACUUCUUGGACUAUUGGUACAGGUACUUUUAAAUGGUGUUCUACUACUUCUUUAGAUAAUAUUGUAGGGUUAUCUGAUGGUGCUAGCAUUUCGGAUACAGUCUCUCAAUUUUGGAAUGGUUGUGAUUGGAAUAUUCCAUUGUCUUUACAAAGCCUCAUUUUUUUAAUCAUAUCAUGGUUAUGGAGGCCCAGAAUAUUCCUAAUUGGAUUUUAUGAGUCUGUUAGUUUCACUCUUAAAUUGGCUAGGACUUUUUUCUUGAAACUAGAAGUUUCCUAUGGUUUGGGUAAAUUCAUUUGAUCUUCAUAUAUUCUGUCUUCCAAAACUCUAGUACUCUGGAAAAUUUUACAUGGGCGGCUUCCUACCGAUCAAUAGAUUCAGCAUAAAGGUUAUAUGUUCUAUGUGUACGCUUUGUGAAAAGCACGAGGAAUCUAUUCAACAUUUAUUUUUUCAAUGUUUUAAUGCUUUGCAUAUUUGAAGUUGGGUUCAAAAGUGUUGGGUUCAAAAGUGUCAAAGUUCAAGAGGGGGGUGAAUUAAGCUUUUACAACUUUCACACAGAUUCGGUCUUUUUGCAAAACAGAGGAAAAUAAUCUAUUUAUUUAGCAAUGAACAAAUUUAUUUUUAUUCUGCUUAGUGUAUUAAGACAGUUAUAUCAGUUGUGUGAUUUUAUGAUAUUAAGCGAGUUGAUCAGCUAGCAACGUUCACAUCAAUUUCCACAGAAUAAAAUGUGAGAGCAGAAUCAAUAAAAUACAAUUCUUGAAUGCAAAGUCAAACUCUUGAAUGAAACUUGUUAAUUAAUUGAGUUAACUUUCAUAGAACAAUGAACUCCAAUUAUGUUCAACAGCUCACAUAGGUUUUCACAAAAGCUUCAAAUUGAUUUUCCAGAAAUCAAGAACAGUAGGAACAAAUCCAGAAAGAACAAAUUUAUUCUUAAUUGAACAGAUUUAAUUUCUGACAGACUAACAAAUGAAUCAGUAAAAUACAAUUCUUGAAUGCAAAGUCAAACUCUUGAAUGAAACUUGUUAAUUAAUUGAGUUAACUUUCAUAGAACAAUGAACUCCAAUUAUGUUCAACAGCUCACAUAGGUUUUCACAAAAGCUUCAAAUUGAUUUUCCAGAAAUCAAGAACAGUAGGAACAAAUCCAGAAAGAACAAAUUUAUUCUUAAUUGAACAGAUUUAAUUUCUGACAGACUAACAAAUGAAUCAGUAAAAUACAAUUCUUGAAUGCAAAGUCAAACUCUUGAAUGAAACUUGUUAAUUAAUUGAGUUAACUUUCAUAGAACAAUGAACUCCAAUUAUGUUCAACAGCUCACAUAGGUUUUCACAAAAGCUUCAAAUUGAUUUUCCAGAAAUCAAGAACAGUAUGAACAAAUCCAGAAAGAACAAAUUUAUUCUUAAUUGAACAGAUUUAAUUUCUGACAGACUAACAAAUGAAUCAGUAAAAUAGUGCAAAGAUGAAGAGAGAUUGAACACAAAGAGAUUGUACUGGUUCACUCAAAUGAGCUACAUCCAGUCUCACCUAAUUCAAGGUGAAAUCCACUAAAAACACAGUUCAAAACAAUUACACAACCACUAUUCUUGAACCUUACUAGCACAUGGCACACCUUGUUGAAAAAGCCUAUUUCAACACACACAACUCUUCAAGAAACCCUAUCAAGAAGAGUCUUACAAUCACGCUUUACAAAGAAAAAGAAAGAUGAAAUGAAUACACCUGGAAAGAGAAUGCAGAAAUAUGACUUAGACCAGUAGAACAGAUUGCACACAUUGUGACAACACCUCCAACUAAACCUUAAAACCAAGCAAGAACAAGCACAAUUUCUAAUUUUGAAAAAUCUUUCAAGCACACGUACUCAUUCUCUUAAAAUACUCAAUCUCUAUUGUAAAACUUGUUUUCUCAACAACUACUUUAAGUCAGAACCAUUUCUCUUUUUAUAAGAGACAUUUUAUAAUAGACUUUUAAAAAAGCAGUUAAAGUAGUUAUAAAAAGAACAUAUUGAAAAUAAAAUGAAUAGAUUUAUUUUCGAAAGCAAAGAGAGUUUUUGAAAGGUUGCAAUUUAGUUACAUGAGUCUUAGCCAAGCUUCUUAGUGCAAAGAUAAAGAUGUGGAAAGCACUUAUGAACCAGGCACCAGACUAAAAAGAAUCUAUUCAUUUAAGGAAGACAAAUUCAUUUUCAAAAAGAUAACUAGAGAUAUUUGAACAGAUAAAACACAGUCAUUUUUUAUAGCAUGAAGACUGAGUCAAGAUUCUUGAUGCACAAAACAAGGUUAUCAAAAACUUUUAACAAAACAUCAGGUUAAUAAAGAAUCUAUUCAUUUAAGAAAGAACAGAUUCCUUUUCUGUGCAGUAAAGAGUAUUUUGGUAAAACAUGUGAAAAACAUUUUUAGAAAACAUUGUGCUUGCUCUUAUCACAUGGUUAAGGGUUAAGAGGUGGGUCAGAAGCAAAAACUCACUUUAAACAACCACUAAUCUAUGCCUAGAACAACAACAAAUGCAAAUACAAGCUUCAAAGCGAAGUACACAAUUGAAUUCAUCAAACACAUUAUCUUGAAGGGGCAACAUUCAUCUUCAACAAUCUCCCCCUGUUUGAUGGAGAGAAAACCCCAUAGCUCAGUUGCUUUGAAGAGAGAUCAACACUUGUACUACACCAAAUACCAAAAUACAAAAGCUAAAAGUAAUCAUAGCAUAAACCAGAUUUAGGGCCUAGAGUGUAACUCCCUGUAUCACCUAGCAUCACCUAGCAUCACCUAGCAUGGUUAGCCUAUUUUUCCCCCUUUGGAUUCAUCAAACAACAUUUUGGCAUAGAGAAAUAAAAAACCAGAUAAAAGCCAACCAUAACAAUCCAGAAAACAAUACAAAUUGUUCAACAGAUUACAGAAAUAUAAACUAGGUGAAAGAUAAACAUAGAAACAAGGCACUUAUACUACUUGUAGUACAGUUCUGCCAACUGCACCUAAACUUCUUCAAUUUGAUGAUCGAGAUGCUGGAACCUGGCUUGAGUUGCCUCGAAAUAGGUCUUUUGCUCCUCUAACAGUGCAUCAAGUCGAGACAGGACUUGCCUCUCAAACAUGGACAUGGGUUCACAUAUGUAUUCUGGAGCUUGAUAGGCAAUAAGAGCGUUGUGGUGAGUUGCAGCAACAUCUUCAUUCAUUAAUUGUGGUGCCGAUGAUUCUCCUCUAUAUUCUGUAGAAGGAGAUCUCAUUCUUUGACUCCUAACAUGGUCAGCAGGGGAUUCCAUCCUGUGUGAUGAAGUGUGAUGAACUUCAUAGCAAGACUAUUCUGCAGCUUACACAGUAUCAUCUUCCAUAGGCACUGCAUCAUCUCCCUCAUCAUUGUUGAGAUUUAAACCUCCACGUUCCUCCCUGUGAGUCUUGCUUUUGAGAAACACCCAACAGUCAUCUACUUUGUGAAAUCUCAUCUUUAGGAGAGUUGAAUUAUCAAUCUCACUCACAACUUUGAUGGUCUCAUUCCUCUCAUUAGUAGUGUCAAUACCAAAAUGAUCAAUUAAUUUUGACACAAGAAUAGCAUAAGGAAAUCUGUAAUCAGUUAACCUUUUCGAUUUCAACAUAUGCUCCAUGAUAAUGUAUACCCAGUUACUUUGAUCAGAUUCAUAAUGCAAUAAAGGAGGAUUAAAUCUUCUUCAUGCAAAACCGCAUGAUUAGUGCCUCUAGGAAUAAGUUGCCAUGCAAUGAUGUAGACAAUUAAUCUUGGAGUUAAAUUUAGAUUACCUGCAUGGAACCUGUUGACACUCUGAGUUGGAUUUCUUACACAGCUCCUGUAGUAUUGGAUUUUUUUGAACUCUUGAAUCCUAUUUGUGUUCCCUUUUCCAACCUUCAAACCAGAAUAUUUGAUUCUAGCCACUGAAUUUCACACAUUAUUUGUGACUUUCAUUUUGAUGCCUUUCACAUAGGUCACAAGAUUUUUCCCAUCCAGAGUUAAAUUGGUGUAGAAGACCUUAACCAGGCCAGGAUAUACAUUACUAGUCAUCUCUAGGAACUACUUCAGUUUUUUAUGCUUCAAUGCAGAUCUGGUUUCAGUCGGUUUCUUAGUUUUCAGCCAGGAAAACUCUAAUACCUUGGGUAUGUUGAUUUGCUCUCUACUCAUCUCAUGUAUGUAAGCAGUUAUCCCCUCUUCAUUUCCAGCAAACCAAUUUUCUAGUACCUCUUGAGAAUUGUUGUGUUUUUCCUGAUUCUUCUUUUUCUGUCGUGAAGAAGAAUCCAUUUGUUGAACCAGUUUUAUGUCUGCACAUCAAUUAACUUGGAGACAUAUUAGUGUGGAGUGAACAACAUGUAGCAACAGAUAACCAAAGAAAGACAUUACCUUACCAGGUUUGAGUCAAGUGGUGAAAGGUGAGUAUUAAUAAUGUUUUAAAACAGAUUUAUAUAGAAAAAUAGUGAUAUUUUGAUGAAGCAGUUAAGAGCAGAGAUACACGAGGAUUUUAUUCUCUGUAUUGUGCAGAGUAUCUUUGGAAAGAGGCAUAAAAUAUUUUGAAUCACGAUGCAUACAUAUCACUCUCCAAUUAAGAAGCCAAUGCAUCAAAUCAGUUACAAGACCAUGACUAAAACCGUUAAAGAUAUGGUGGUUAAUACCCACUAUGUCAGUUAAACAGUCAAAGAGAGAUAUUAAUGUUUCUCUUUCCUAGUCAUUAAUGCACACCAAUAUCAGAAAAAAAUAAACACAUUUAAUUUUGAUAAAUAACAGAUUUAUUUUUACUUCGGUGGGUAAUUAACAUUUAUGAUACCCAAUUCAUUCAACAGAAAAUUAAACCUAUCUUGGGCCAAUGGUUUAGUGAACAAAUCAGCAAGUUGUAAAUCAGUACCAAUGAAUUUAAUUUCACAUGUUCCAUUUGAUAUAUGCUCUCUUAGAAAGUGAUGCCUUAUUUCAUUAUGUUUUUUCCUUGAAUGCAUAAUAUGAUUUUUAGUUAAAUUGAUGGCACUAGUAUUAUCACAUAGCAGAGGUAUAUUAUUAAGCAAGAUACCAAAGUCAUUUAACUGCUACCUCAGCCAUAGGGUUUGAGCAUAGCAACUACCUGCAGUAAUAUACUCUGCUUCAGCAGUAGAGAGAGCAACACACGCUUGCUUUUUUCAUUGCCAAGAGAUCAAGCUUGAUCCAAGCAAGUGACAUGUGACACUGGUGCUCUUUCUAUCAAUCUUGCAGCCUGUAAAGUUUGAAUCAGAGUACCCAGUCAAGGUUAAUGAAAUAUUACCUGGAUACCACAAGCCAACUUGUUUUGUUCCUUGGAGGUAUUUUAGAAUUCUUUUGGCAGCAUUGAAAUGUGACUCUUUUGGAGCAGAUUGGAAACGAGCACACAUGCACACAACAAACAUUAUGUCAGGUCUGCUGGCAGUAAGAUACUAUAGAGACCCAAUAAGCCCUCUGUACUUAGUCUCAUCAACAGGAUUUCCAGCAAUAUCAUGAUCUAGAUGGCAGCUAGUUGAGAAGGGUGUGUUGAUUGAUUUGCACUUCCAUUCCAAAUUUUCUUAACAGAUCCUUGCAAUACUUAGCUUGACUUAAGAAUAUGCCAUCCUUGAUUUGUUUGACCUGCAAGCUUAGAAAAUAAUUCAACUCACCCAUCAUAGACAUUUCGAACUCACUCUUCAUGAUUUCCACAAAUGUUUCACAUAAUUCUACAUUGUUUGACCCGAAUAUGAUAUCAUCCACAUAGACUUGAACUAGAAUUAUGUCAUCCUCUUUCCUCUUAAUGAACAAAUUUUUAUCUGAUGUGCCUCUGUCAUAGCCUUGUGAGGUAAGAAAAUCACUCAACCUCUCAUACCAUUGUCUAGGGGCUUGCUUAAUCCCAUAGAGAGCUUUCUUGAGUUUGAAUACAUAUUCUGGAUGAUAAUGGUCUUCAAAUCCUGGGGGUUGUGAAACAAAUACUUCUUCAUUGAUAUAACCAUUCAAGAAGACACUUUUCACAUCCAUUUGGAAUAGGUUGAAUCCUUUUAUGUAGGAAAAAGCAAGGAGAAGUCUGACAGCUUCAAGUCGAGCCCCUGGUGCAUAUGUUUCAUCAUAAUCUAUUCUUUCUUCUUGGUUAUACCCUUUAGCCACAAGUCUGACUUUAUUUCUGGUAAUCACCCCAUGCUCAUCCAUCUUGUUUCUGAAUAUCCAGUUUGUUCCAAUGAUGUUCAUUUCAGGUAUUCUAGGAACAAGUGACCAUACCUCAUUCAGAGAAAAUUGAUUUAGUUCCUCUUGCAUAGCCAGAAUCCAGGUGUUGUCCUUGAGAGCUUCAUCCAGAUUUUAAGGUUCCUCUUGAGAAACUAAUGCCAUUGUCUCACACAGAUUGUUUAGAGAAUUCCUAGUUGAAACACCUUUUUCAAUAUUUCCAAUGACAUUGUCAAGGGUGAGAUCUCUUAUUCUUUUGGUAAAUCUGCAGAAACACUAGGUUCUUUGACAACAUGUGAGUCAUCAAUAUCUAUAUGAAUCAAUUCAUUUUUAUGCAAAACAGAUUUUAAAUCAUCACAUUCUAAGUCAUCUGAAACAGGUUUUGGCAUGUAAUUAUCAUAUUCAUCAAAUACAACAUGCAUUGAUUCUUCUACUGUUAGCAAUCUUUUAUUAAAAUCCCUAUAAGCAUGACCAUUUAAAGCAUAGCCAAUGUGAAUUCCUUCAUCAGAUUAUGCAUCAAAUUUUCCCAAAUUCUUUUUUCCAUUAUUCAGUACAAAGCAUUUACAUCCAAACACUCUAAGAUGACUUACACUAGGUUUUCUACCCUUAUAUAGCUCAUAAGCAGUUUUCUUAAGGAUAGGCCUAAUUAAGGUUCUAUUUAACACAUAAGCAGACUGCAUCUGCCCAGAAUAUUUAGGAAGCUUAGAUUCAUUCAACAUGGUCCUAGCAAGUUCCUCUAGUGAUCUAUUUUUCCUAUCAACAACACCAUUCUGUUGGGUAGUCCUAGGGGCUGAAAAGCUAUGUGAUAUCCAAUGUUUUUCACAAAACCUUUCAAACUUAGCAUUUUGAAACUCACCCCCAUGAUCACUACGAAUAGAUUUCACACAGCAGCCAUUUUCAUUUUGCAGAACUUUUGUCAAUUUCUUAAAAGCCUUAUAAGCAUAAUUUUUGUAAGCAAGAAAGAGAGUCCAUGUAUAUCUAGAAUAAUCAUCAAUAAUAACCAAUGCAUAUAAAUUUCCAGCCAAGCUAGCAACUCUAGAGGGUUCAAACAGAUCCAUAUGUAGAACAUCCAAGGGUUUCUUAUUAGAAAUAAUGUCCUUUGAUUUAAAGGAAGUUCUGAUUUGUUUACCUUUCACACAUGCAUCACAGAGUCUGUUAUCCUGAAAUUUUAUAUUAGGCAAACCAGAAACAAGAUCCUUGGAUUUCAAUUUAUUCAAGUGAUUAGUGUGAAUGUGAGCUAACCUUCUGUGCCACAGCCAAGACUCAUCACUUUUAGACUAAAAACAUUCAUUUACAAAAUUAGUUUCCAAUAUAUCAAAGAGAUAUAUGUUAUUCACUCUCUUACUAGUAAACAACACCUUACUAGAGGAAUCAUGUCAGAUUGUGCACCCAUUUGACUUGAAGUUUACCUUGUACCCUUUGUCACAUAGUUGACUGAUACUUAGAAGAAAAUGUCUAAGUCCUUCCACAUAAAGCACAUUCUCAAUGGUGGUUGAAUUUCCAGUUCCAACAGUUCCUCUUCCUAGAAUUCUUCCACAAUUAUUGUCCCCAUAAGUGACAUGUCCCUCUGCUUUGAGUUUUAAGCUAGUGAACUUAGUUAGGUCACCAGUCAUAUGUUUUGAACAUCCACUGUCCAAAUACCACUGAUUUCUCUUGCUGCUUUUCUGCAAAACAAAACAAAGACAAUACACAUGGUACCUUUUUUAGUCUAGGGUCUAGCAGUGAUUAAUACCUUUCCUUUGGAAGCCAUUUGGCCAAGCUUUUAGGAAUAAGGUAUUUUCUAGCAAUGUAUGUUCUAGAAGUAUGUCCAGAUUUCAUACAAUAAAAGCAAGUAACAUGAUAUGCCUUUUUGCCACUAUUAAAAGAUGAAAAACUAGUUUUUGCUGGAACAAAAAAACUUGAAAGCUUUUUAACAUUGUUUACUUUUCCAGGAUUAUAGCCAAUUCCAUUUUUGUUGAAAACAACAUUUUGUGAACCUAGAAGAGACUCAAGAUUAUCCCUACCUUUAGUGAAAUUGGAUAAAUUUUCCAGCAAAUACUCAACUUGUUUUUCCAGCUUUUUACAGUUUUCAUAAGUCUUUAUGGAAGCAUGCAAACAUGUCAAUUCAAGACUUACAAGAUCAGUUUUAGCCUUAUGCAGUUCUACCUCAAGAGAUUUUACCUUAGGUGCAAGUACAUUAUUUACUUUUUGCAAUUUACUGCAUAUAACAGCUAACCUAUUUGCCUCAUCAUGCGUUUCUUUGAAAGCAACCAACAGUUGAUCAUAAUUGUCAGAUUCCAUGGAGAAGUCACUAACCGAAUCACAUAUUGAUCCUUCAUCUUUCAUCAUGAAACACAAAUUGGUUUCUUCACUUUCUGUUGAAGAGUUGCUUGUUGAUGACACUUCAUUCUCUUCCCAAGAUAUGUAAGCUCUUCUCCCCUUGCUUCUUUCAACCUUCUUGCUGGCUGUUUUUUCUUUAGUGUGAUUGUUUGGACAAUCCAUCUUAAUAUGUCCUGUUUUACCACAACCAAAGCAAGUAUAGUUAGAAGAAUUAGAUUCAUUCGAUUUAAGAUACCUUCUUUUCUGUUGAGUCCUAUCUCUGCCUUUCUUCUUUAGGAAUCUGUUGAACCUUUUUGUGAGUAGACUUAUUGUUUCAUCAUGUUCAGCUUCUGCCUCCUCACUGAUAUCAUUCUGUACACUUGCUUUCAAUGCAAGUCCCUUAGUUUUCCUUUCCAUUGUUUCUUGCUCUUUAAGCCUUUUGAGCUCCAGCUCAUGCUCCAUUAAUUUUCCAAACAGUGCAGUAGUGGACAACUUUGACAGGUCUCAGCUUUCUGAAAUUCCAGUUACUUUGGGUUGCCAGCUCCUAUCAAGAGAUUUCAGCACCUUUAUAUUGAGCUCUUCUUUGUCAAACUCUUUUCUCAAUUCAGUAAGAUGAUUUACAAUGUGGGUAAAUCUCUUUUGUACAUCAACAAUGGUUUCUUCAGGUUGCAUCCUGAAAAGCUCAUAUUCUUGAAUGAGUGAAUGCUUUCUUGAUCUCUUCACAUCAUCCGUUCCCUCAUGAGUUACCUCCAAAACCUCCCACAUUUCCUUAACAGAGUUGCAUUGAGAUAUUCUGAAGAAUUCAUCCAUUCUCAAUGCAGAGGUUAUGAUGUUCUUUGCUACUGAAUCAUAUUGAGCUUUCUUUCUCUCACUCACAAUCCAUUCAGACCUUGAUUUCUUCACUGUUUCAUCCUUGAUAACCUGCAUCGGUACAAAAAGUCCAUCGACCACAACCUCCCAAAUACCAAAGUCAAUAGAUUCCAUGAAAAAUUUCAUUCUAAUUUUCCAGAAAGCAUAAUUCAUCCCCCUGAACAUAGGGGGUCUAUUAAUAGACGAACCCUCAGCAAAAAGCACUUUAAACCCAGACAUAUUGCAAACAAACUUGAGUAAAAUACAAGUCCUAGCUCUGAUACCAAUUGUUGGGUUCAAAAGUGUCAAAGUUCAAGAGGGGGGUGAAUUGAGCUUUUAAAACUUUCACACAAAUUCGGUCUUUUUGCAAAACAGAGGAAAAAAAAUCUAUUUAUUUAACAAUGAACAAAUUUAUUUUUAUUCUGCUUAGUGUAUUAAGACAAUUAUAUCAGUUAUGUCAUUUUAUGAUAUUAAGCGAGUUAAUCAGCUAGCAAUGUUCACAUCAAUUUCCACAGAAUAAAAUGUGAGAGCAGAAUCAGUAAAAUACAAUCUUUGAAUGCAAAGUCAAACUCUUGAAUGAAACUUGUCAAUUAAUUGAGUUAACUUUCAGAGAACAAUGAACUCCAAUUAUGUUCAACAGCUCACACUGGUUUUCACAAAAGCUUCAAAUUGAUUUUCCAGAAAUCAAGAACAGUAUGAACAAAUCUAGAAAGAACAUAUUUAAUUUCUGACAGACUAACAAAUGAAUCGGUAAAAUAGUGCAGAGAUGAAGAGAGUUUGAACACAAAGAGAUUAUACUGGUUCACUCAAAUGAGCUACAUCUAGUCUCACCUAAUUUAAGGUGAAAUCCACUAAAAACACAAUUCAAAGAAUUACACAACCACUGUUCUUGAACCCUAUAAGAACAUGGCACACCUUGCUGAAAAACCCUAUUUUAGCACACACAACUCUUCAAGAAACCCUAUCAAGAAGAGUCUUACAAUCACGCUUUACAAAGAAAAAGAAAGAUGAAAUGAAUACACCUGGAAAGAGAAUGCAAAAAUCUGACUUAGACCAGUAGAGCUGAUUGCACACACUAUGACAACACCUCCAACCAAACCUUAGAACCAAGCAAGAACAAGCACAAUUUAUAAUUUUAAAAAUCUUUCAAGAACACAUACUCUUUCUCUGAAAAUACUCAAUCUCUUUUGUAAAACUUUUUUUCUCAACAACUACUUUAAGUCAGAACCAACUCUCUUUUUAUAAGAGACAUUUUAUAACAAACUUUUAAAAAACAGUUAAAGAAGUUAUAAAAAGAACAUAUUGAAAAUAAAAUGAAUAGAGUUAUUUUCGAAAGCAAAGAGAGUUUUUGAAAGGUUGCAGUUUAGUUACAUGAGUCUUAGCCAAGCUUCUUGGUGCAAAGAUAAAGAUGUGGAAAGCACUUAAGAACCAGGCACCAGACUAAAAAGAAUUUAUUCAUUUAAGGAAGAACAAAUUCAUUUCAAAAAGAUAAUUAGAGAUAUUUGAACUGAUAAAACAUAGUCGUUUUUUUAUAGCAUGAAGACUAAGUCAAGAUUCUUGAUGCACAAAACAAGGUUAUCAAAAACUUUUAACAAAACAUCAGUUUAAUAAAGAAUCUAUUUAUUUAAGAAAGAACAUAUUCAUUUUCUUUGCAGUAAAGAGUAUUUUGGUAAAACAUGUGAAAAACAUUUUUAGAAAACAUUGUGCUUGCUCUUAUCACAUGGUUAAGGGUUAAGUGGUGGGUCAGAAGCAAAAAGCUCACUUUAAACAACCACUAAUCUAUGCCUAGGACAACCACAAAUACAGAUACAAGCUUCAAAGCGAUGUACACAAUUGGCUUCAUGAAACACAUUGUCUUGAAGGGGCAACAUCCAUCUUCAACAAGAAAAUGUUUUUUAUUCCUCAGUUUUCUAAUAAGGAAGAUCUUCUUUCUUUUAUUAAGAAUGAUGGUAGUUCUUUGGUUAAAUUGCUUAAGCUUGUUGUGAUAACUUUUUCUAUUUGGAUGAUUUAACGUAUGAUGAAUUAUGCUAGAUUUCAGGAUAAGAUUGAUGUUUCUCGGGCUAUUUUGGUAAUUAUAGAUUUAACUUGUCUCGUGGGAAAUUCGUCUAAAGCUUCAUUGAAGAAUGAUUUGUUGGAUUUCAGCAUCAUUAAGUUUUUUGGUAUUAAUACUCAUAUUGGUAAAGUUUUUCGUCCUCUUCCUGUUAGAUGGGAGUUCCCUUUGCCAGAGUGGGUUAAAAUUAACACUAAUGAGGCUGCUAGGGGAUAUCCUGCUUUUGCUACUUGUUGUGGUAUUUUCCAUGGGAGUAUAGGAGAGUUUAUUGGUGGUUUCUCUGUAUAUCUUGAUGUUCAGACUACUCUGGUUGCGGAGUUUUAUGGAGUUCUAUAUGCUAUGGAGGAAGUUCAAAAGAUGGGGUUUACUAAUGUAUGGGUUGAAUGUGAUUUGACCUUGAUUUGUGUUGCUUUAAUGCUAGGACCACUAUUCCAUGGAUACUUCAUAAUUGGUGGAAUAUUUGUCUUAAUUGCUGCGGGAAAAUCAGGUUUAGGAUUACUCAUAUUUUUCGUGAAGGGAAUGUGUGUGCUGAUAAGUUGGCUAAUUUAUGAUUUAUUCAUAGAGAAUCAUUUCAUUGGUAUAAUAGGCUUCCAUCUAGUCUGUUCUUAUAAUUCUUUAUGAAUAGAUAUAAUUUGCCUAUGUAUCAAUUUUGUUAACAUAUGGGUUUUGAUGUAGUCCUCCCAUAUAUUUUUUUUUUGUAUUUUUUUCUUUUUAAUAAUAUUUUUUCCGUGUGAUGGCAGAUGAUUGUUGUUACGUGAGGUGUCAACAUAACUAAAAUGUCAAGUUGCAUAGUAAUGCCUAACAUGAAUUUUUUCUUUUAAAAAAAUGAAGUUUUUUUUUCAUAAAUCUCGCAAAACUAUUUUUCUUAAAGGGAUAGAAAUGUUUGCUACACUUGAUUUUUUUAUGUUCUACUUUUUAAUAAAAAGUUUAAUUUCGUUGGGUUAAAAUUAACUAUUUUAAUUGUAAAAGCCCUUUUAUACAAUUUAUUAACCAAACUUUCACUCCUUUAAACAAAUUGAAUUUUUUUACAUAAUCUAAUUUUAUUUAUAUUCAUCCAAAUACCACAUUUUACCUGCUUAUUUUUUCUUUUACUUCUAUCUUUUCUAUUUUGUUUUCAAGAAUUAACCAAACAAAACAAUGAUACAGGGCAACAAGGCAUGUGCUGGCACCAAAAUGGGGUCAUUAUUGUUGAGAGGUAGAAAGAUAAGCACUGGACAAUAAGUGUUUGGUUCAGCUGCAUAGUUAAAACUUGUGGUGCUGAUGAAAAAAGAAGGGGGUGAAAGGGAGAAAAUGAAGACCAAUAUAAAUGUCUUCUUCCCCAAUCAUGUAUCAAUAUCAGUGUUCUUCAGAAUGUGACACACGUGGCCCUAGGCUAACCUACCUCAUCAUUCAAUCAUCAAGGUUUCAAAUUCUUUAGAUUCACACAAUUUCAACUACCCAAGAAAAUUGGCAUGAGGCUUUUUCAUUUCACCACCAAAAUGUUUUUUUCUUUCUCAAAUUUUAAGGUUGCAAAAAUUGGAUUUGAGAAGAGUAUUUCUUCAUACAAUCCAAAAACAGUACAUCUUCUUAGAAUCACCUUUUCAAAAUAUUAAAGAUACAUUCUCAAAAGUUGAUCCCGACAUGGAUGAUAAUUUUACAAAAUUUUAUAAAUAUAGGAAGUUGAUUCCUUUGAUACGUGACCAUAUAGUAAUUACAUAUAAAACUACACUUAUGAUAAUGUUGUAGGUGGCAUAUGGUGGUUAGAACUUUUCAGAAUGGAAAACCAAUAAAAAAUUUGAUAAAAGAAAUUCGAUACUUGACUAAAACUAAAAGCUGUGGAUGAAUUAGAUUUUUUUAAGGACUCAACAAUUUGAUUUUGAUUUACAAUUUCAUACUUGGAAACCGAUUUCAAAUCAAAGAAAACUAAAACUAAAAUUAAUUAUUUAAUUAUUAUAUUAAUAUAUGAGAGAGGUGUGGGGAAGAUGAAAAUAUAAUGUAUUUAACUUGAUUUAUACUUAUAAAAUAUAUGAGAAAGAGUUGUCUUGAUAAUAUAAAUAAUUCAUUAUUAGCCUUUCGCAUAAAAAUGUUAACGCAAUAUUGAACAAACUAUAUGUAACGAGUUUGUCAAGUUUACGAGAAAUUUAUGAGAGAGUUGGAUAAUAAGAGUCGUUUCCUAUUUAUGCCAUAGUGUAUAGUCACUUGUUACUUGUUUGUUGUAAAAACACAUAGACAUUUUUGUGUUUUUAUAUUUUAUUCUGGUUGCUUUACUAAUACAAAAAGAAAGUUUUUCAAGACUUAGGAAAGGUAGAUAUUAAGAGUCAUCUACUAUUUAUGCCACAAUAUGUAAAUACAAUAUAACCAUCUUAGUCCUUUCUUGUUCUUUGUUUUAAAAACAUAGACACCAGCCUUUAUAUUUUAUUAUAGUUCCUUUGUUGAUAAAAAAGAAAUAGUUAGUGAGUAAAUAAAUUUUGUAAUACAAUACUUGAAGAUGUUGGAAUUAAAGAUCGCACUGAGCUAUAUUUGAUGUUUUCAAACUCUCAUGUAGAUUGAAGAUUCAUAUAAUUGAGAAUAAAGACUCUAAUUGUCUUAGUAUGUGUAUAUAUUUGAUGAUGAAAAUCAUUUAGUUUUGAAACUUUUGGCUAAGAAGAUAGACAGAGAUCGUGCUUUAACGAAGAUAUUAGAGAGUCUUUUUCUUCUUAGCCUUGUAUUUUAGGCCUAAGUAGAGUAGGAUGUAAAUAGAAAAGAGUAGGGUGCAAAAUAGUAAAAUAGGGUUGCAAAUAGAAAUGUAGGCAAGGAAGACAUUAAGGCAUUCUCUGCUUAAUGGAAAGGAUUUUACUCCAACGAAGGCAUGUCACUUGUCACUCUCCCAAUGGGGAGGACUUGCACCAAUAAGGUGGAGACACUUGUCACACUCUCAUUUGAUAGGCUUUCUCCUAUAAAUAGGAGUCUCUUGUACAUGUUUUUUAACUUUGAUUUGAGUAAUGAAAUGUUGUCCAAUUUGGAAGACACUUUUACUUGUUCAAAGUUCUCUCUACAGUUGUCUUCAUGCUAAAAAAAUUUCUAGACUCCUCCUAGUAGUAUUGGCCCAACCUCACCCUAGAAACUAAGUGUUUGCCUAACCUCACUUAGAUUCAUCCUCAUAAUUUUCAUUUCCUUCAAAAUUUAUACAAUUUUUCAUGCUUCUACAAUUGAGUCAUCAUUUGUAGAAGAUAUUCAAAUUAAAACAAUAGAAGAAAAAUAUCUACUAAUGAACAUGCAAGCUAGGAUUGUCUCAUUUGAUUUUGAUAUAAUUCGUUUGUAUAUAUUUCUUCCCAAGCUUAAUUGAUGCAAAAAAACUUCAACAAUUGUUUUUAAACUAUUUAGAACUUGUUAACAAUGUUAAGAGAAUUUUAAUGGGUUGAAUUAAUACUUUAAUUUGUUAAAAUGUUCUUAACUCAAGUCUUUACGAUUGAAGUGGAUAUUUUAACUGGUUGAUUUACUGAAUCAAUUGGUUAAAAUCACUUAAGAUUUUUAGAAGUUGAAAAAAUGUUUUUCUAUCAACUAUAACUUGUUCUUAGGAACUUGAACUUCUUUCAUUUUCAAAAAGGAUGGAGUUAAUUGGUUAAAAAUAACAGUUUCAGUUUUGAUUAAAUUGUUUUUGUUAAGUUAGCAGAUGAUCUAAUACCCAUCCCAACAAUCUCAUGAUAUUAGCAUCUAUAUGUUUUGAUGAUAACAAACAUAAGGUUUGUUGUGGUAUAACAAAACUCACUCAUCUAUAGAACAAGUCUAGACAAAAAUAAUAAGAGAAGAUCAAAAUUCACUAGAUGAGCAAGGCUCAUUAGACGAGCAAGACUCACUAAAGAAUGCAACAACAACAAAAAAUUUUGGACGAAACAAUGACACACACUCACAACAUCAAAUGAUCCAACCUUUUUUCUAUUCUCUAGAUGGUUAGAAUAUCCAAAGAGAAAAUUGGAAAUAAAGAAGUUGCGCAACAAAAUUCAUCGAUCAAUAGGCAUGUAAUUAGUGUAGAAAAUGUGUAAAAACUAGUGAAAAGUAUGCCAAAAGCUCUCCAACUCCAACUUCACCUAGAGAUAAUGAAGAAAAGAAGAAAUCUGCAGAAAUCUUGCAAAAAAAGGUUGAAAAACAAGCAAACAAUGAUGGAGCAAAAAGAGUCAAUCCGCAUAGCGUAUGAAGAAUCACUUAGUGGAUUGAGUACAGAGGACAAGCCUCAUGAAAGACACUCAAAACAUUAAGUGCUUCCACAUACGAUAAGCGGAUUGAGGCCAGAACAAUUGAAAUCUAGAGAAGAAAUGGAUGAGCGAAUUCUGAAAGACUGAGCGCAGAGCAUCUUUAACCAUGAAGAAAGCCCAAUUUCGCUAAGAAGGGGCUCAGAGAUACCUUCCACCAAAGUCUUCUCCCAAGAAUGUAGGUGGUAUGGUGAGAGAAGCUCCUUCAGUUUGAAAGUGUGGCUCCAUUCUUGCCAUGUCGGAUCUCUUUCCUUUAACGUCCAAUUCUUGACCAACUAAUCAAGUUCCACUAAGCAGAUUAUUGAUGUGAAGUGCAAACAAGUAUUCUUUCAACAAGCCACUCAUGGAUUAACUCAAGUAUUCUUUCAACAAGUCAGUCCUGACUUAACUCAAGUAUUCUUUCAACAAGCCACUAUUGGUUCAACCCAAAUAUUCUUUAAACAAGUCACCUCUUUGGCUCAACAUAAGUAUUCUUUGGAAAAGCCAACUUAGCUCAAAAUAAAUAAAAUUGUCUUUAUGAUCAACACACAAUAUUUUCUCACUAGAGAGUGUUUGUGUCUUUCGACAUUCUAGUUUUCUAAAGAUUGAACUCAAACUGUGUUCUUACAAUGCCUUAAGGAUACAAAAAUAUUUCAACAAGGUUUCAACAUUUCGGAAUAUCGGUUCUUCUUUUUCUUCUCUUCAAAACAUGUCUUUAUAUAGUCUCGAAGAAUGUAAAUGUUGCAUUCCCUUUUUUGGUUGUUGAGUUGCUUUGAACUCAUUUCAAUGUCUUAUUUUUUUUUUCUUUUAUCGUCGAUUGAGCUUGAACAUUAAGAAACAUUAAAUGUGCUUCACGCAACAUCCUUGAUAGUUAAUCAUACUUAUCUUCCUCGGUAGGUUAACCUUUUGCACCAAACUAUGGUAAAAUGCACACCGUACUGGAUGGAUAGCUAGGUCAGGGUUAAAAUAUGCUUGUGUCAGGAUAAUUGGAGUGCAAUACAACUUUAGCUAAAACUCCAAAAGAUUUUGAUGUUGACUUGUCUUGAGUGUGGAUCCUCUUGGCAACACUUGAUGCAGACAUUCCCUACAAUAGAAACUUAAGCUACGAAAAUAUUAUUUAUGUUUAUGUUAGCUUUAAGAUCUAUCUCGUGUUCAUCAACACCUUAUCAAACGAAGUGGAACAUCUCUAGAAUACUACUAUCAUCUGUUUGACAAAGCACUUGCACUUGCAUGAUCUGCUCUUUUCCUUCGACGUAUGUCAAACACACUUGCAACAUGAUUCCUACUUUAUUGGUUUAAGCACUCAGUUAAAAUAACAAGGUUCUUGCAAUUUUAUUCUAACAUGCUUCCAAUUUAAUAUUUUCUAGGUCUUGUAAUUGAAGUAUCUUAUUGUUUCCAACUUCAUCAAAUGAUAAUUUACAUGCUUUCACAGCCGAAAAUAUUCUAUAAUCUAUUUGAACUGGUAGAUGCAAGCUUUACCAAAACGAACACUAUAAGGAGACAUUCCAAAGGUGUUUUCUAAGCUAUCGUAUGUACCCAAAGAACAUCAUCUUGUUUUAUACCCAAUCUUUUUUAUUGGGAUGCACUAUGUUCUCCAUGAUAGGCCUUUAAUACUCUUAUUAGAUAUUUUUGAUUGUCAAUUUCUUUGGUGAUGAUAUGUUGUAAAAAUUCUAUGUACAACCUUAUCGUAACAGUGAGUGUCUCGAUGACUAAGCACUGAAGAUUGCAAACUUCCGAAGUAGGAGAUUUGAUCUGGAUUGAUUUGCUAAAGGAAUGCCAAGCUAUCCCCGAAAGCUAAUGAUCCAUUAUUCAGAGUUAUGCAGAAAAUUAAGACUAUUGCCUAUAAAGUAGAGUUGCCAGAUUCCUGUGGAAUCGAUGCAUAAAGGAUAAUAUUGUUUUAGAGGCUAAAGAUGAAUUAGUGCCAUAAGAAGUGUAACUUAGAAUUUGUAGUUUUUUAAGGUAGAGUGAAAAGAUAUUUUCAAUUUGCUUCAUUACAUAGAAUGGAUGGCUCAUGUGCUGGUUCCGUUACCAAAUUUCAUUGGUUUUGCUUGAAUAAGGUGGCGCUAAGAGGAGAGAGAGUAUUUUGGUACAUGGUUUGAAAUGGGAAAGAAUGAAUAAAGGAGAUCUAAGUUGGUUGUCCAAAAAUGAAGGAUUCAUAUAAGGUUUCUGUCAGUAAAUUGGUACGUGCUAUCCUAUUGAUAUUUUUGGCAUAUAAUUUAUCUUAACCAAGUUGCAAUGUUAGCAAAAUCAUGUAGAUAUUUUUUUCAUUUGGUGGGGACUACGAAUGAGAAAAAUCAAUACAUGACCAAGUUGUGCUCUAAAGAAAGAGAUCCAGAAACAUUCUCCCUUCAACUAUUAAACCAAUUUCAUCUAAAACACUAUUUCUGUUCUUUAGUAAUAAUCAUAAACUUUCACAACCAAAAUUUGAAGUUAUUGGCAGAAAAUCAUAUUUUGCUAGAUUAAAUUAUGAGGGUCACACCCUUUGAACCUUUUAUGUAAUACUUGACUUUUGAUUUGUGCUUUAUUACUGUUAUCUCAUGCAAUGCACUUUUAAGGUAAGGUUGUUGUACAUUGUUUGGUCGAGUGCAUUAGUUAUGACCAAAUUAUAUCUUCGAUGUAUGCUUGGCCAUUAAUCAACCAAGCAUGAUAAGCCCAUCAUCUACCAACCCUUCUACACCAUAUACACAUUUUGCCUAUCUUUGCUACAGUUACUUUCAAACAUAUCUUAACAAAUACUCUAAUGAACAUUUUGAGUUUUACUAAAAGGACUCCAAGGUGAAUGAAGCAUGAUUUUUAGCUACCCACCAAAAGGGAUAAAACUGUCAGUUGAUAAGGUUCUCUUGAUAUUUUUCCAAUACAAGUUCGCCUUUAAAAUAUAAAACAUUACUGUAAUAAAGGGGCAACUCUUACAUGCACGAGUAGUAAAAAAAACAUGCAUGAGAAAUAAUGAUCACAUAAUAUGUCAGGCAAAUAUGGAAUGGGAAGAAAGGGCAAACUACUCACAAAUAAUAUCAACUCCACCACCAUCACACAUUUACGUUCUUCCAAGGAAGAGAUAAGAUAAAGGAGCCUCCUCCACGUGUCACUUCCACAUGGUACCAAACGAUAAGGCUACCUUUCAAAAUUUUCCUCACUCGUGUGGUCAAUAUGCUGUAAUGUCAUCACUUAUAGAAUCCAACGGUUGUAACAUCUCAGCAACCAAUCCCUUCCAUUUCACACCAUUGGGUUAGUACUCCACAAAUCACACUAUUAUAUAUAGCCAGUUUAAGCAGAAGCUAGGCAAUAUAGCAGCAGAAAGAAGUAAUUCAGAAGUUAGGAAAUGGCUUCUUCAAUGAUCUCCUCCCCCGCUGUGACGACCGUUAACCGUGCCGGUGCCGGUGCCGGUAUGGUGGCUCCUUUCACUGGGCUGAAGUCCCUGGGAGGGUUCCCAAGCAGGAAGAUGAACAAUGAUAUUACUUCCGUUGCGAACAACGGUGGAAGAGUGCAAUGCAUUCAGGUAAGAGAAGAUAUUUAUGUGAUAGGAAAAUGUGAAGAUUUGGAAGUUGGUUGGUUAGUUAGUUUGUUAACUGAAUUAUGAUGGAAAUGAAAUGAGUAGGUGUGGCCAACAGUUGGGAAGAAGAAGUUCGAGACUCUUUCGUACCUGCCACCCCUGACAAAAGAACAAUUGGCAAAGGAAGUAGACUACCUUCUUCGGAAAGGAUGGGUUCCGUGCUUGGAAUUCGAAUUGGAGGUGAAUUUGUUGAAUUGAAUUGAAAGGGUUAUUAUGGUUAAUUUAUGAAUGAAUGAAUGAAUGAAUGAAUGAUGUUGAUGUUUGUGUUUGAUGUUGAUGUGUGUUGAUAGCAUGGUUUCGUGUACCGUGAACACAACAAGUCACCUGGAUACUAUGAUGGAAGGUACUGGACGAUGUGGAAGCUGCCUAUGUUUGGGUGCACUGAUUCUUCUCAGGUGUUGAAGGAGCUUUACGAGGCUCAGACUGCUCAUCCCGAUGGUUUCAUCCGUAUCAUUGGAUUUGACAACGUUCGUCAAGUGCAGUGCAUCAGUUUCAUUGCCUACAAGCCACCAGGCUACUAAGUCUCCAAAAUUUCCCAUUUCAUUUUGCUUUUUUGUUGCCCAGAUUAUCCUCAUCCGAAAC
rnacentral:lncRNA from 1 species